GGGUUGUGAGGUUAAGCGACUAAGCGUACACGGUGGAUGCCCUGGGAGUCAGAGGCGAUGAAGGACGUGCUAAUCUGCGAUAAGCGUCGGUAAGGUGAUAUGAACCGUUAUAACCGGCGAUUUCCGAAUGGGGAAACCCAGUGUGUUUCGACACACUAUCAUUAACUGAAUCCAUAGGUU
rnacentral:rRNA from 1 species